CCUACGGGAGGCAGCAGUGAGGAAUAUUGGUCAAUGGACGAGAGUCUGAACCAGCCAAGUAGCGUGAAGGAUGACUGCCCUAUUGGUUGUAAACUUCUUUUAUAAAGGAAUAAAACGAGGCACGUGUGCCUUUUUGCAUGUACUUUAUGAAUAAGGAUCGGCUAAAUCCGUGCCAGCAGCCGCGGUAAUACGGAGGAUCCGAGCGUUAUCCGGAUGUAUUGGGUUUAAAGGGAGCGUAGAUGGGUUGUUAAGUCAGUUGUGAAAGUUUGCGGCUCAACCGUAAAAUUGCAAUUGAUACUGGCAGUCUUGAGGACAGUUGAGGUAGGCGGAAUUCGUGGUGUAGCGGUGAAAUGCUUAGAUAUCACGAAGAACCCCGAGUGCGAAGGCAGCUUACUAAACUGUGACUGACAUUGAUGCUCGAAAGUGUGGGUAUCAAACAGGAUUAGAUACCCUUGUAGUC
rnacentral:rRNA from 1 species